UUAUCGCUCCAUUUCACACGAAGAAACCAAAGUGCCAAAAAACUGUAUUAACUUGUGGAGUGAACUCAACGGGACAGAGCAGAGUUGAGAAUAACCCCAAUGUGCCGACUCCACAUCCAGUCUUAUACUGGAAACUCUCAGAAGACACGUGACACCCUAGAUCCAUAAAUUUCCUGUUUGCUUAAGACAGUGUGAGUUGGAUUUCUGUGACUUGCAACUGAAAGAAUCCAGACGCUUUAAGUUGGGAGUUCAGGAGACAAGGAAGGAAACCACAGGACGGAGGAGCUUCCACGCCUCUGCACCUGCUCGUCCUGCUUGUGCGCCCAGGGUGAGAGCGGCCGGUACAGAGCUGCGGACGUGUUGAGAC